rnacentral:rRNA from 1 species
CUACGGGUUGCACCAGUGGGGAAUAUUGCACAAUGGGCGCAAGCCUGAUGCAGCCAUGCCGCGUGUAUGAAGAAGGCCUUCGAGUUGUAAAGUACUUUCAGCGGGGAGGAAGGGAGUAAAGUUAAUACCUUUGCUCAUUGACGUUACCCGCAGAAGAAGCACCGGCAACUCCGUGCCAGCAGCCGCGGUAAUACGGAGGGUGCAAGCGUUAAUCGGAAUUACUGGGCGUAAAGCGCACGCAGGCGGUUUGUUAAGUCAGAUGUGAAAUCCCCGGGCUCAACCUGGGAACUGCAUCUGAUACUGGCAAGCUUGAGUCUCGUAGAGGGGGGUAGAAUUCCAGGUGUAGCGGUGAAAUGCGUAGAGAUCUGGAGGAAUACCGGUGGCGAAGGCGGCCCCCUGGACGAAGACUGACGCUCAGGUGCGAAAGCGUGGGGAGCAAACAGGAUUAGAUACCCCCGUAGUC